rnacentral:rRNA from 1 species
CGACCUCAGAUCAGGUGGGGCUCCCCGCCGAAUUUAAGCAUAUUAGUAAGCGGAGGAAAAGAAACUAACGAGGAUUCCCUUAGUAGCUGCGAGCGAACAGGGAAGAGCCCAGCACUGAAUCCCAAAGGCCCCGCCUUUCGGGAGAUGUGGUGUUUUGGAGCGCCCGACUAACCCGGGGUUCGUGCACCGCGUUCAAGUCCAUCUUGAACGGGGCCACGGUCCGAAGAGGGUGCCAGGCCCGUAGCUGACCGGUGCCGGCCCCGGGUGGGCGCCUCCUCAGAGUCGGGCUGCUUGAGAGUGCAGCCCUAAGCGGGUGGUAAACUCCAUCUAAGGCUAAAUACAACCACGAGACCGAUAGAGAACAAGUACCGUGAGGGAAAGUUGAAAAGAACUUUGAAGAGAGAGUUCAAGAGUACGUGAAACCGCUCAGGGGUAAACGGAAAAGACCCGAAACACCGAAACGAGAGAUUCACGUCUUCUCGCAGGAGCCGGCUUCCGUUGGGAGGAUGGCCUAACGCCCCGUCCGGUUCUUCCGGUGCGGUGGGUAGGCUGCCUCUCGCGGGGGUCCCGGCUCCUCGGGGGCCCGCACUUCUCUCGCAGUAGGACGUCGCGACCCGCUCUGCGGCGGUCUAACGGCCGGUAGAGUGUCUGGCCGAGGCCCAUCCCUCGGGUUGGGUUCUCGACCAGCUCUCCGGACCCGCGGCCGUCGGUCCGGGCGGUAUGAAACGACUUCAGCGCUGGGCCGCUCUCUCAGAGAGCGCCGUGCCUCCCCGCAAGCUCGGGCCGGGUCGCUUGGUCGUGCCCUCACGGGUACGCCAGGCGCCCGCCCGGACUGUUGGCGGGUGACGGCUCCGGCCGCUCGUCCAGCACGCUCGUCGGCGGCGCUUCAGAUUCGGGCACUUAUCCGACCCGUCUUGAAACACGGACCAAGGAGUCUAGCGUGUGCGCAAGUCAUUGGGUGAAAAACCUAAAGGCGUAAUGAAAGUGUCAGAGGGCGCAUCCCGCCCUCAGUGGGAGGAUGAGCUCCCGGCCCACCGGCCGGUGCUCCGCACUCCCGGGGCGUUUCAUUCUCAUUGCGAGUCGAGACGCACCAGGAGCGCACACGCUGGUACCCGAAAGAUGGUGAACUAUGCCUGGCCAGGACGAAGCCAGGGGAAACCCUGGUGGAGGUCCGAAGCGAUUCUGACGUGCAAAUCGAUCGUCUGAGCUGGGUAUAGGGGCGAAAGACCAAUCGAACCAUCUAGUAGCUGGUUCCCUCCGAAGUUUCCCUCAGGAUAGCUGGCUCUCGGGAAGAGACGAGUCUCAUCCGGUAGAGCGAAUGAUUAGAGGUGAUGGGGUCGAAACGACUUCAACCUAUUCUCAAACUCCCAAUAGAUGAGAGCCCCGGCUUGCUUGAAAGUGAAGCCGCGGGACUCGGAUCAGAGGCGCCAAGUGGGCCAAUUUUGGUAAGCAGAACUGGCGCUGUGGGAUGAACCAAACGCAGAGUUAAGGCGCCUGAUUCGACGCUCAUCUGAAACCAUGAAAGGCGUUGGUUGCUUAAGACAGCAGGACGGUGGCCAUGGAAGUCGGAAUCCGCUAAGGAGUGUGUAACAACUCACCUGCCGAAGCAACUAGCCCUGAAAAUGGAUGGCGCUGUAGCGUCGUGCCUAUACUCUGCCGUCAACGGCAAAGCGGGCGGCCCUUCACGGGGCGUCGCCGUUAAGCCUUGACGAGUAGGAGGGUCGCGGCGGUGUGCGCGGAAGGGUCUGGGCGCGAGCCCGCCUGGAGCCGCCGCCGGUGCAGAUCUUGGUGGUAGUAGCAAAUACUCCAGCGAGGCCCUGGAGGACUGAUGUGGAGAAGGGUUUCUUGUGAACAGCUGUUGCACAAGAGUCAGUCGAUCCUAAGCCCUAGGAGAAAUCCGAAGCGAUGGUCUGCCGUUAAUGAAACUCAAAGCGCUCCGGGCGUCGUGCGGGCACACAACACACCGUGUGCUCGUUCCGACGCACGAGAGCGGCAUGCGAGCUGGCACCGUCUGGGCGAAAGGGAAUCCGGUUCCUAUUCCGGAACCCGGCCGCGGAACCGCUCCAAUUCGGGCCCUCAUCCGAGGACUCGUCGGGGUGACCCGAAAUGACCCGGAGAAGCCGUAGGGAGGUCCGGGGAGAGUUGUCUCUUCUCUAUAAGCGUUCGAGUUCCCUGGAAUCCUCUAGGAGGGAGAUAGGGUUUGGAACGCGAAGAGCACCGCACUUACGGCGGUGUCCGGAUCUUCCCCUCGGACCUUGAAAAUCCGGGCGAGGGCCACGAGGAACACCGCGCCGGCUCGUACCCAUAUCCGCAGCAGGUCUCCAAGGUGAAUAGCCUCUAGUCGAUAGAAUAAUGUAGGUAAGGGAAGUCGGCAAACCCGAUCUGUAACUUCGGGAUAAGGAUUGGCUCUGAGGAUCGUGGCGCGCCGGGCUUGGUCGGGAAGUGGAGCGGUGCCAACGUGCCGGGCCUGGGCGAGGUGAAGGGCGCUCGUCGCAUUGGA